ensembl:misc_RNA 7SK 7SK RNA
GGAUGCGGAGGGGACCUGGCUGGGACAUCUGUCACCCCACUGGUCACCAGGGUUGAUUCGGCUGAUCUUGCUGUAGGCGGGUGUCCCCUACCUCCCUCAGUGAUCCAUGUGCAUCCCUCCCAAGCUGCGCGCUCGGUCUAAGAAGAUGACCACUCCGGUAGAGGAGGACCGGCCCUCAGUCAGGGGUAUACAGCAGCUGGGCUCUCCUGCUAGAACCCCCACACAAGCUCCCGGGUCUGGGUGCAACAAUAUCCAUGAAGCUGUGUAAAUAAAAACUCUACAUAUAAAUCUAGCAGAUUCAAUUGUAAGA